rnacentral:sRNA from 1 species
CACCGUUUCAGUGGCAUUUAAAUUCCGAGCGCUCCUCCAUCAAGGUGACGCGCAGCCACCACCCCCUCCUCCCCACCCCCAGCCAGUGCAUUGGGGCUUCCGA